GAUGAACGCUAGCGGCAGGCUUAACACAUGCAAGUCGAGGGGCAGCACGAUGUAGCAAUACAUUGGUGGCGACCGGCGCACGGGUGCGUAACACGUAUGGAACUUGCCCUUUACUGGAGGAUAGCCCGGAGAAAUCCGGAUUAAUACUCCAUAACAGUCGAGGUGGCAUCACCUUGGCUUGAAAGCUCCGGCGGUAAAGGAUGGCCAUGCGCACGAUUAGCUAGUUGGUGAGGUAACGGCUCACCAAGGCUACGAUCGUUAGGGGCC
rnacentral:rRNA from 1 species